UUGCAAUAAGGUAAGUUCGUAAAUUCAAGUAUGCUAUCAUCAAGUUGUUUGAUAGUGUAAAAUCUUUAAUGAUGUUAUAAACAACUAGUUUACUUUGGUUGGUGCUUUGAUGUAUAUUGUUAACUGAACAAAUCUAAAAAUUUCAUAAUUGAACUUUCACGUUAAAUUUUUAUUAGAUUGACCUAUACUUUUUGUAUAUCAUUUCAUUUGUAGAGUCAUAUAUAGCGGCUACACUAUGGAUAGAAAUUGGAUACAUAAUCCCGAUAGAACUAGUGCUGAAUAUUUGCUAGGGAUUGAGGAAUUCGUUAGAGUUGCAAGCAAUUGUGUCAAUCAUCCAAGUCAUUUUGAGUGCUUGUGUCAAAAGCAUUAUAAUUGCUCUUGGAGGCCAGUAAGUGAAAUUUGACAACACUUGAUCAUGCAUGGGAUGUCAUACAAUUAUACUAAAUGUAAUCGUCAUGGUGAAUGAUCGGGGGCCAUGUCGGGUUCUUUUACCACUAACUUGUUUAGCAACUCUAGUCUGAUUGAUGCAUUGAUUUUGAUAAUGAUCAAGUAAUGGAUAUAAUUAAUGAUAUGUAUCCACAUGCCUCGCACCAUCAUAAGCAAAAGGUAUUAGAAAAAGAUGAAGUAUUACUUGAUGAUGAUACAUUGGGAUAUAAUCAGAUGUCUAAGAUGCAUGGGCAAGAGAUAGAUAAGUAUGAAAGGUUGUUGAAAGAAGCACAAAAAGAACUUUACCUUGGUUGUAAAGAUUUUUUUCUGUGCUAACAUUGAUUGUGGAGUUGAUGCAAUUGAAAGUGAGCAACUUGAUGACCAACAAAUGCUUUCACGAGCUAAUGGGCAUCUUAAAAAGGAUGCUUAAAAAAAAUCAACUGCCACCUACUCAUCAACAUGCUCAAAAAGUUUUAAAAGAUCUUGGACUGGGCUAUGAAAAGAUCCAUGCAUGUAUAUUUUACAAGGAAAAUGAAGGGUUAGAUAAGUGUUCCAUUUGUAAUGAGUCGAGGUAUCUAAACAUUUCAGAAGAUAAGAAAAAGAUUCCUUAAAAAGUACUAUGUUAUUUUCCACCGAAGGCAAGAUUACGACGACUAUAUAUGUCAAUGCAUACUGCCAAUGAUAUGAAAUGGCACAAGGAUGGACGAGUUGAUCAUGGUGAUAUGAGGCAUCCGGUAGUCACAAUUGCAUGGAAAGAAUUUGACAAGAUUUAUCCCAAUUUUGUACCCGAGUCACGAAAUGUAAGGUUAGGCCUUGCAACGGAUGGUUUUAACCCAUUUUGGGGAUAUGAACAAACCUUAUAGCAUGUGGCCAGUAGUGGUUGUUCAUUGUAAUUUGCCUCCUUGAAUGUGUAUCAAAAAGGAAUUCACAAUGCUACCCUUAUUAAUUCCUGGCAAGUGCGAACUUGCUAAGGAUAUUGAUGUUUAUUUGAGCCCGCUAAUUGAUGAGCUGAAAGAAUUAUGGAAAAUUGGUGUGCAUACAUGUGAUAAAGGCACUGAUUCUACUUUUAACUUACAUGCUGCUAUGUUGUGGACUAUUAACGAUUUUACCUGCUUAAGGAAAUUUAUCAGGAUAAAGUAUUAAGGGUUAUAAUACAUGCCUUGUUUGUAAUGACGAUGGAACUUCUGAAUGGUUCAGUGCCAAGGUUUGCUAUAUGAGGCAUCGGCGAUGGUUGCCCUAGGAUCAUGUGCGGAGCAAUAUCAAGGAAUCCUUUGAUGAAAAAACUGAAUUUUGUGUAAGAAAAAGAGAAUUAUGGAGUGAUGAAAUUUUGUCUCAAGUACAAAACAUAAACUUUGGUUAGAUUGGUAAGCAUCCUGAUAACCCAGAUAAAAAAGGAAAAGGACACUUGAAGAAUGGAAAAGGAUUAAGAAGAGUAUUUUUUGAGUUAGAAUAUUGGUCAAAGUUUAAAAUUAGGCAUAAUCUAGAUGUAAUGCACAUUGAGAAGAAUAUUUGUGAUACUAUUAUUGGGACAAUAUUGGGUAUAGAGGGAAAAUCAAAAGAUACAGUGGAGGCUCGCCAAGACUUAGAAGCACAUGGAAUAACAAAAUCUUUGUGGUUAGAUUGGAAAUGAGAGAAAUGGGUUAAAGGACAUCCAUUUUUCACAAUGAAACCAAAUUUAAAGAGAGAAUUCCUUCAAUUUUCAAAAUCCGUAAAAUAUCCAGAUGGCUAUUCUGCCAAUAUUUCAAGGAAUGUGGUAGUCGAAUUUGGAAAAAUUUCUGGAUUGAAGAACCAUGAUCAUCAUGUAUUAUUCUAAUGAAUACUUCUUAUUGGUAUUCAAAAAUAUUUACCAAAAGAAGUGGUUGAACCAAUUAUUUAGUUGUCCAAUAUAUUUCAACAAUUACGUGCAAAGACGUUACGAAUGGAGGACAUUAAGAGGUUAGAACAUGUUAUUGUGUAUAUAUUGUGCAAGUUUUGACAAAUUUUUCCACUGGCUUUCUUUGUUUCCAUGAUUCAUUUAUUGGUACAUUUAUCCGAAAAGGCAAGACUUGCAAGUCCUGUGAGUUAUCGAUGGAUGUACCCAAUAGAAAAGUUCAUGUUUAUUAAUUUUCCUCGAUUGUAGUUUCUAAAUCAAUGCUAACUAGUUAAACAAUAUAUCUCACAAAAUUUAUUCUUUUAGAGAAUGUUAGGGGGACAUACAGAAAAUGUGUGUGGAAUCAGGCUCGACUUGAAGGAUCCAUUGCAGAGGCAUAUGCUGCACAUGAAUCUCUUACUUUUUGUGCCAUGUACUUUCGAAAUAUUGAGACACCUUUUAAUCGAACUGAAUGGAACUUUGAUGGUGGAGCUAGACAAGAGAAACUUUCUGUUUUCUCCCAAGUAGCACAACCAUUUAUGAGUAGUUCAAAAAUUUCACUCACAAAUGAUGACAUAGAGAUUGCUCAGUGGUUCAUAUUGAACAAUUGCGAUGAGGUUCUUCCUUUUCUAAUGUAAGUAUAGUACCUAUGCAUUUAGUUUAAUUAUUUGUACUAUACAUACAUGCAGUAUGUAUAUGUAAACUUGCUGUGUAGGGAACAUGAGGAAAUGAUGAAGAGUGAAAGUUAUAUGAACGUAUAGAAAAGGCAUAGAAAAUUGUUCCCUAAUUGGUUUCAUGAACGCGUUAGUCAUUUUCUAGUUGUAAUAAAUACUUAAUUUUUCAUUAUUAUUUAAUCUAGAAUUAGGCGAGGAGUUUAGGGAAGGCAAAAUCAUCCUUGUACAAUGAUGAGCUAUUUGAGUUCGUAAGAGGUCCUCUUUGAGCUGAAACAUACCAAGGUUGUACUGUGAACUAGGUAAAGUUUAUAGCUGCAGAAUGAGAUGAUAAGCUAGCCACGCAAAAUAGUGGUGUCUUUGUGCCUUUAAAUCAUGAUACUGAUAAUGUAGACUUCUAUGAAAAGUUGAUAAACGUGGUUGAACUACUGUAUAGACAACGUUACAAGGUUGUUCUAUUCAAGUGCCACUGGUUUAAUACAAACCCUCUUAGGUCAGGAUCAGUUAAACGUGAGUACUACUUACUAUCUAUAAACUCUAGUACUCGUUGGUAUGAUAGUGAUCCUUAUAUUCUUGCAACAAUGGCAAAACAAGUGUUUUACGUAAAUGAUCCUAAAGCAAGUGGUGGUUGGAAUGUUGUUCAAAGAAUGGAUCACAGGAACAUAUAUGAUAUAUCACGGAAGGAGAUGUAUAAUGACAAUGAUGACAAUAAUGAUGUGGCGUAUCAUGAAACUUGUUCUUCUGAUGUACCGAAUAUGGUCGAAGCUCGAAAUUAUGAUGUUAUUCAAACAUUACUUCAUAUAGAUGACGUUCCUCAUGUUGAUUGAUCCAAAAUCCAUUGAUCGAAGCCUUCUUAGAGGAAAUGAUGGAGACACGGAUAAUGAAAGUACUGAAGACAAUGAUGACGAUUUGGUUGAUAAGAUCAGCGAACAUGGUUUGGAGGAUAGUGAUUUAGAAUAAUAAGAUCAUUACUUUUACCAUAUAUGUACACAAUCUAUUUUUAAUAAUAUAUUAUGUUUUCUACAAUUUUUUAAUUACGAAUCAGCAUAUAUGAAUUUAAAUGCAUAAAAUGAUAUGUUUGAAUUAGUUGAUUAAAAGGAUUGAUUAUUGUUGACACAUAAAAAUCCAGCUCAAAUCGAACGGCCCAAAUAAUGAAGCCCAAUUGGAGGAUCCCCAAAUCAGAUAGCCCAAAGAACGAAGCCAAAUCAAACAAUUCAAGAUGAAGGCCCAAGAAUGCGGUAACACCAUCGCCCAAGUUUGUAAGUCGCCCAGAAUCUGAGCGAAUGGAGUGCCAUGCAGUCGCCCAGAGCUGUUACUCUAUUCUCGCCCAAACUUUCGAGUCGCCCAAGGUCUUAGCAAACAUAAAGUGUUGUGGUUAUCAAGAAGUGCAGUUAUCAAAGCAGUUAUUAAAGCAGCCCUAUCACGUUCCACGAUUCAAGGAAUUCAAUCGAAAACGGUUGAACGACGAAGAGUAAUGGCAGCAGUUAAAAAAGGCAGUUCCAUGACAAGUUGGCCAUUACGAGGAAAGUGGGCAGUUGUAGAACGAUCAAGCAGUUUUUAGGUGGUUGAUCACAAAGAGAUCAUCCAGGGAGUAUAAAAGGAAGAAAAGACAUAGAGCAGGGGACCGAAUCAAAUACUCUCGAACAGAGAACAUGUAAUUUUAAAUUUCUUAGCUUAGCUUUAAACACUUUUUUCAGUAACUCGUGUGCUUGCACACCUUGGAGGCAUUCUAUUUUUAAUUUCCAAUUAUAAAGUCAUCGCCAAUAAAAGAAUACCCAUUUUUGGGACUUUGUCUCAAAAGGUUUGUCCCUUACACAAUCGUCUGAUCCCUUUUAAUUGUUAGCGACUAACACGCGCGAAACAAUUUGGCACGUCCGGUGGGACAGUGGUGUUUGGUGUUGAAAAUACAAAAGGUGAAACAAUAUGCCUUAGAGAUCCGAUAAGGAAGCAGCAAGUCAAGGAGGAGUCCAGUCUGUGAUCGAGCGAUAUGAGGAGCAGCAUGCCUCUCCACGAACAGAUGGACAGAAUCAGAGCAGUAACAGUCGUUACGAACCAAUGACAGAGUUGAGUCCUUGAACCAUGCGUGCACUACUUGGAAAACUCACAUAAGAUGUCGUUGAACAGGUAAAUCCUCGAAGUAUUCAUAAUAUGGAAAGAUUUACCCAAAAUGGGAAUGCACAUUAUGACAACAUGGCCAAACAACUAAACACUUUGAACGAAACAAUGAAUAAGUUAGUAGGCCAAAUAUGUCAACCGAUUAUGCCUCUUGCAAAUUACUUUCAAACUAGGACAAUUGUGGGACAUAAUCCCUCAGUCCUAAAUCUGAAUCAAGGGGUAGAACCACUUUCUGGUCCCUCUACUUCAAACCAAGGGGGUGGGGCAGUGCCAAAUUAGAACAAUGGUAGUGGUACGCCUAACUUGGGGGGUAAUCCAAAUAUAAGAGAUAAUGUCCUAAACAAUGGACAGAAUACCCCAUGUGUUAAUGAGGGAAUAGAUGUUCAGGCUAAUGGUAAUGGCCCUAAUCAUGGUAACUUUGUUGCCAAUCAAGGACCAAACAUCAGACCUCAUGCAAAUCAACUAGUUAACCAACCUGUAGGAAUUCCAUAUGACCCCAACAUCAUGUUGAGGAAUCAAAUUAUGAAAAUUGUACAGUAUCAGAUGACUUUUGGGGUGCGUCCCGUCAUUAGGUCGAUUUACACAAAGCCAUAUCGUGAUUGGGUAGACCAAGCAUAUCCAUGGCCUAGAGGGUAUAAAGUGCCAGAAUUCUCACUGUUUACCGGUUUAGGAGAGGUAUCUACUCUAGAACACAUAGGGCGAUUCACAUUGCAAAGUGGUGAUAUAACCGAUUACCAUAAAAUGAGACUUUUUCCCAGUUCAUUAACAGGAGUAGCUUUCUCCUGGUUCAUCAACUUGCCAGCGAACUCUGUUCAAACAUGGCAACAAUUGGAACAGUUAUUUCACGCUCAGUUUUAUAAAACUGAGUCUGAAGUCAUUUUAACUGAUUUGGCGAAUCUACGUCAAAUGCCGAACGAAUGGGCAGAAAGUUUUCUCCAAAGGUUCAAGACAGCAAGAAACAAGUGUUUUGUACCUCUACCUGAAAAAGAAUUUGUCAAAAUCGCUCAGGGCUGCUUGAGCUUUGAUUUAAAAAAGAAAUUCAAGGAUAAGGAAUUUCCUGACCUUUUCCAGUUGAGUGCGAAUGUGAUUAGGUAUGAACGACUGAUAAGAGAGGAAGAACAGAUGAAAAAUUCUAGUAAAGAGACUUAUUACAAAGAUCCAAAUUUUGACAUUCAUACCAUCAGCGACGAGUCAUACGAUCAGGUCGAAAUGUGUUUGGCCGAAUUGGUCAAAGGAGAUACGUAUACUUGUCCCAUAAUGGCCAAGCCUAGACCAUCGGGCAAACAUGAGCCCAUGAAAGAUGGAAACAUAAAGGCUAGAACGUUCUCGUUCGAUGUAACCAAAGCUGACCUUAUAUUUGAUAAAUUAUAUAGGGACAAGCAGAUAAAGUUGAGCGAUAAGCAUAAAUUGUCAAACCUUGAACAAAUUAAGGGUAAAAAAUAUUGUAAGUGGCAUAAUGCAUGGUCACAUUUGACUAACAAUUGUUUGGUUUUUCGCCAUGUAUUGCAAGAUGCCAUUGAAUCGGGACGAAUUACAUUCGACGAUAAGAAGAAGAUGACAGUGGAUGAAAAUCCUUUUCCACAGCCACUUGGAGUGAACAUGGUGACGUCUGGUUUCAAAAACAAGUUGCCAAAAUUCAAGUUGGUCGUAGAUGAUGGAGAAGAGGAUCCUACACCACAUCCUAGUGUCUUUGAACGAAUCACGGGGAAAAAACUAAGAAAGGACGAAGACGUCCUGUGUGCAAGAUGUAAAAGAGAAGUGAAUGGAAAUAUGGAGAAACCAGGGAUAUGGCAGCAUCCCCAUCGUCCUACUUUCUUCCCAAACACUUAGCCUGGUAGAGGGCGAGGUACAUCAUUUUUUGGUUCUCUCAAAAGGCAGUCCUCUAUAGAAUGAUGUAUCUCACCCAGCAGAUAAUGGGAGAACAUUCAGGCCGCAACCUCGCCGGUCAAAUGUAUGGCAUUCAUUCCAGUAUAAUGCAGGAAGAACAGUACCCUUCGAUGAGAUGAUUAGAACCUAACAAAGGCGUUUCCAACGAAACUAUGGAUGAAUGACGAGGCAGCAACAGGGAGUGCCACAUCUCAAAGCGCCUAAACUACUCAAGAUAGCCGAUCAAAAUGUUCUCAAGGAUAGUGAAGAAACCGGUACAGAUGAAUCAAUGAAAGAGCGGCCAGAAACUUCUUCUGGGAGAUCAAAGUUUGAGCGGGAUAGAAGGGAUGGAGAAGAUCCAGAUCAGUCCCUUACUAUCUAGUUCUGUACGUUACCUCCUGUCGUGGCCAAUAAUUACUUACUGGCCAAUGAAUUCAAGAAUAAAGAAAAAGAAGAAGAAAGGGAGGACAACGAAGGAGAAGCUUGCGUGUUGGAAUGUGAAGAAGGCCAUAUUUCUAGAGAGGCCUACAACGAUGAAGAAGAUGACGGGAUGACAGACAUUGAAGAAGAAAUCGACCUAGAAGCAGAAGGAAGAAGGAGAGGAGUAUCGCGCAUUACUCUGUUGAAGCAACUACAUCGAGAGGGAGUUCGCGAAGUAGACUUGUUGGGAGAACCAUCUGGGCGUCCUUUCGAUUUCUACAUACUGUACGGGACACUCAAAAGGAAGAAGAGGGUACCUCGCUCUGAAAAGUAUGGAUCACCUCCAAGAAUAAUGCCCCCUCCUACAGGUUGGGUAACUGAUGAGGACGCAUUAGAAAAAAGGAAGAAGGCAAUUCAGGAGACAGAUGAUCAGCGCGAUAUGCUGCACGUCGACUUAUCACAGGGGGAUAAUUCGACAGAAAACAAGCAGGAAGUAGAAAUAGAGGCUGCCGAAAAGGUUAUUUUUAAACGGCCAGCCAUGAAAUUGAUUAAACGCUUGAGGCCAUUGUACGUUAAAGCUCUAGUUAACGGCAUCCCUACGGUAAAAGUACUUGUCGACAAUGGAGCAGCUAUAAACACCAUUCCAUCUAGGAUGAUGAGAAAGUUUGCAAAGACAAAGGGUGACAUGUUUCCAACAGAAGUUAUCCUUAAGAGUUUCAACGGAGGAGCAACUUCAGAUAAGGGAGUUAUGCCAUUGGACAUAACUAUAGGGACGAUUACUAGGACCAAAGUCUUCUUUGUAAUAAAUGGUCCUACUAGUUACAAUGUGUUACUAGGAAGAGAUUGGAUACACGGAAGUCACUGUAUACCCUCAUCGCUCCAUCAAUGCCUGAUCUUUUGGAAUAACAAAGGCGAUCUUUUGGAAUAAUAAAGGCGAAGCAGAGGUGGUACAGGCCGAUCAUAGGCCUUUUGUCGCAGAAGCAAACUCGGUGAAAAAGUUCAUGUACAAAGGAAACUAUGGACGUGUCAGGGUAGUACAAGAUGGGGAAGAAACUUAAGUUGUCGCGCAAAGCGAAGAGCCAUUUUCAGUGGAUGCACUUACUAAAAUGUUCAGACAGAUGAGACCAAAUAUAGUGGCCCUAGAAGAGCCAGUAAUUGGCAAAAGAAUAAUCAAGGAGUCUUGAAUGGAUUCUAAGUUACAAAAGCAAAUGGCCGAUAUUCAGGCCUUCAAAGCUAGACUGAUGGCUUUUAAUAAGGAAUGCAAUGACAAUGCGAAAGAAGAGACAUGCCUAAAAGCCCUGAAGGACAAAUUGGCAGUAUUCGAGUUAGAACAAAGCAUUGGCCAAGAAGUCAACAAGGUGGACUGUUUAGAAGAAGAAGUACUUACAAGGGAAUUGGAUGACGAAGUGAUGCAGAUCAUCAAACCUGGAUACGCUCAAGCACAAGACCCUCUGAUCAAAGUAAAUAUUGGCAAUGAAGGAGAAGAUCGUCCAACAUUCAUCAGCCAGAUGCUCGAUCAAGAGGUUAGUAAUAAAUUAAUCGCUUUGCUAAAGGAGUAUAAAGAUUGUUUUGCUUGGGAAUAUGAACAAAUGCCUGGUUUAGAUCGAGACUUCGUGGAAUAUAGGUUACCAACUAAGCCUAAUUUUAAACCUCAUAGGCAGCCUCCUAGACAUUUUGCUCCUAAUGUACUCCCUGAGAUUAAGAAAGAGAUAGAGCGAUUAUUGAAAGCAAGUUUUAUUAGAAUAGCCAGAUAUGUCGAAUGGUUGUCCAAUAUCGUGCCAGUACUAAAAAAGAAUGGUAAACUAAGAGUGUGUAUAGACUUUAGGAAUUUAAACAUUGCUACACCCAAAGAUGAGUAUCCAAUGCCCACGGUGGAUUCUUUAGUAGACUCGACUGUCGAACAUGUCAUGUAUUCUUUCAUGGAUGGGUAUUCAAGAUACAAUUAAAUUUAUAUAGCUGAAGAAGAGAUACACAAAAUUGCCUUUAGAUGCUCUGGGUCUCUUGGAUGUUUUGAAUGGGUAGUUAUGCCUUUCAGCCUAAAAAAUGCAGGGGCAACUUACCAAAGGGCAAUGAAUUUAAUCUUUCAUGAUAUGAUAAGCAAGUUUGUUGAAGUGUAUGUAGAUGACAUAGUAGUCAAGUCCAUUAAAGAAGAGGACCAUUUCGAACAGUUAAGAUGUUCGUUUGAGCGAAUGAAGCAAUAUAAGCUAAAGUUGAAUCCCUUGAAAUGUGCAUUUGGUGUUAAUGCAGUGAAUUUUCUUGGUUUUUUGGUACACAAAAGAGGAAUUGAACUUGAUAAAAAUAAAGCGAAGGCCAUUUUAGAGGCCAAACCACCUAGCAACAAAAAAGAAUUGCAAAGGUUUCUAGGCCAAGUAAACUUUUUAAGACGCUUUAUUUCUAACUGUGCAGGGCGAACUAAAGUCUUUUCGUCGCUCUUAAAGCUGAAAAAUCAGGACGAAUUCGUCUGGAAAGAAGAACAUCAAAAGGCUUUUGAAAGCCUGAAGACAUAUUUAUCAAGUCCACCAGCGUUGGUGUCACCAAUCCAAGGACAGCCAAUGUUGAACUUCACUGCAUACAAGAUGGAGAUGCAAUGGAUUGGAGAACAGAGAUUAAAAGGUUCCUUAAAGAACCUAAUGGAUGGAUUAGUAGGAAAAUGAAGCUGUGUUUGCUGAACUAUACACUAAUAGAUGAAGAGUUGUUUAAGAAACGCUCUGAUGGUGUAUUGCUAAAGUGUGUAAGUUUGCAAGAAGUCAGGACGAUCAUGACUGAGGUGCACGAAGGGAUAUUCAGAGCUCAUCAAGCUGGCCAAAGGAUGAGAUGGUAAAUUAUUAAGAGUGGAUAUUUUUGGCCAAAGAUGGGAGAAUUAUGCGUUCAGUAUGCAAAGAGUUGUUUAGCAUGCCAAAAGUCUAGUCCAAUACAAAGGGCGCCAGCACGAGAGAUGGCACCUAUUAUUAAACCUUGGCCGUUCAAGGGUUGGGUGAUAGACCUGAUAGGGAAGAUUUAUCCCCCAUCGUCCCACCAACAUACUUUUAUUAUAGUUGCAACCGACUAUUUCACCAAGUGGGUCCAAGUGGGUAGAGGCGGUACCUUUGAAAGAGAUCACCCAAAAGAAUGUUAUAGAGUUUAUCCGUGAUCACAUCAUUUAUAGGUUUGGAAUUCCACAAACGUUAAUGGUAGAUCACGGAACAUCUUUGAAUGGGGAUCAAGUGAACAAAUUUUUGAGCGAGUUUGGGGUUAAAUUAGUAAACUCCACACCAUAUUAUGCUCAAUCCAACGGACAAGCAGAAUCUUCUAAUAAGAUUCUAAAAAAUAUCAUCAGAAAGAUGAUAGAUGAAAAUGCCAGAAAUUGACACGAAUGUCUGAACAAGGCCUUGUGGGCUUAUAGAACAUCACCUCGGUCAAGUACCAAAGUUACUCCUUUCCAACUUGCUUAUGGACAGGAGGCCGUUUCGCCUAUGGAAAUCAACGUGCAAUCGAUUAGAGUGUGCUUGCAACAUAAGUUGAAUGAUGAUGAGUAUACAGAAUCACUAGUUCAAAAUUUAUUGAGGUUGGACGAAUUAAAGUUGGACGUUUUAGAUAUAUUGCAAGUUCAAAAAUAAAGAAUGGCUAAAUUUUAUAAUAAAAAGGUCAUAGCCAAGUCGUUCAGCCUGGGUGAACUAGUUUGGAAGACGAUAGUCCCUUUGGAUAGCAAGGAUCCAAAGUACGGGAAGUGGUCGCCCAAUUGGGAAGGAUUAUACAAAAUAAACAUUGUGUUGCCCAAUGGAGCGUAUCAUUUGGAAGAUUUAGAUGGCACCAAGCACGUGAGAUUCAUUAACGGCAAAUAUUUGAAAAAAUAUGUUCCUUCUUUAUGGGAAUGUGAACAGAUAAAAGUAUAAUCAAAAUAUGUUGAACGAUUAAGGAUAACAAGGUCAGAGCGAAAUACGUUCAAAUAAAGUCCUUUAUUAUCAAACGUUCAUUACAAAGAUACAAAAAUACAAAUGAUGGAUGUUUUACAAACUACAAUUAAGAGUAAGCUAAUCUCCCGAUCGAUCGUCGAGUAAGAGAGUGGACUGGCCUCGCACCGCCAUCCUAAAUGCAUCGCUGCAAUGGUGGGAUCGCCGAGUAAGAGGUUGGACUGGCCUCACACCACCUUCCUAAAUGCAUCGCUGCAAUGGCGGGUAAAGAGGCUGAGAAGCACUCUCAGUAAGCAAGGUGGCCCACAAGCAUCCCAAAAAUUGCCUUCUAUCAUCGAACUCCUUGUAAAGGACAAAGAGACGAUGGGAAGAACUUUGAUGGUAAAAAUUUUGCUGCUGGCCAAAAAAUAUUUCCUAUACCUUCCACACCAAAGAUGACAUCAAGGCAAAUAGUAAAACGGGCGAACCAAACAAUCCAUUUUUAUAAAAGACGAAAGUUUUGGGUUGAUUGUCAGAAUGCCAAACAAUGGCAGCAAAUUGGUUUCGAAGAAGAAAAUGAAGAUGAAGAUGGAAGAUGGAAAGUGCGAAGCAUACGUACAUUUAUAGGGGGUGGAGAUGAAGAGACAGAAUAUGAGCAGCCACAUUCUGCCUAGUAAAUGGAAUUAAGUAGCCCAAAGUCUUGGGAAAAGAGGUGGAAAUGUCAAGAGAAAAUGUGCAAGAUUUUUAGCACAAAGUAGUUAAAUACUUGAAGAAUUGGCGAUUAAAAGACAAACGUCAAAUAAAUGCACAAGAAGUAAACAUAUAUGUUCAUUAAUGAUGAACAAGGUUACAAAGGGAAAAUCAAAUGCGAAAUUACAAAAGGAAAAAGGCGUCAUAUGUCUUAAUUACAGUACACCCCACACUGAACGAAUUCGUUCCCUAAGUUUUUCCCAAUCCUCGUUCUGUCGAGAGGAAGUGACGUUCAAUUCGGCCACGACAUCAUCAUCAACUUCCAACUUCUUGUACUGCUCAACAAAAGACUUAGUUCGCUCAAUUCUCUGGGAGGCGUUGUGCUUUUUAGUAGCCAUUCUCGUCUUGCAGUCGUCCAUUUUGGCUUGAAGUUCCUUCAUCUGAGCAGCCAAACUAACCAUCAAAGAGUCUUCAAUCAUGACUUCGGAAGAGAUUUUUUUCAACUCAUCCUCAGCCUUGUUGAUCCCCAGAUGCAAAGAAUCAUUUUUAGAUAUGGCGCGAAGAUAUUGAGUACUUUUAACCUUUAGUUCAGCAUUCUUGGCCAGCAAGGAGAGGACCUCGGAAUGGAUAACUUUCAACGUCGCUUUAAAAUCGGCAGAAAGAUCGAGCGACGAAAGUGUCAGUGUUUGCCCCAACUUCGCAUUCAAAUGCUCAAGCUUAUCCUUGUGUCUGGCAGCACUAGCCUUACCAAUGUCCAUAUCCAUGAAAGACACGUACUCAAAUAUCGACUGCUUGAGGAACUUCAAAUCUUCCUCUGAAGAAGUAGUAGGACGACCAAAUGGAGUAGGGCGAGAUGUCUUGACUUGUCCCCAGGAAGCGAAUAAGUCUUGGAUGGAACGCACAAUCUUGUCGGCAUCCUGCUAAGAAAAUUGCCAAUAUUGAAGAUUCUCACUACAACGAACAAGAUGGAAAUAAAAGUGAAGCAAAGAUUACAUCAUCAAUAAUCGUGGAAGAUGGCAUAUCCUCAGCCAAGUCUGCCACCUGUGACUCCAUUCGUGAGGACUUCCCCUUGUCUGAGCGAGAAGAUGUUGCCACAACGGGCAGACUCAUAGGAGUAUCUGCGGAACUCAAAAGCAACAAAUCAGAAACCAAUAGCACAAGCAAAGGUAAGGCAUUAAAAAAUUGAAUUACCUUCUACUUUGAUGUUUGGGGGGUUAACGCCCUGGGAAGAAGGUGGCUCAUCCAUGAGUUGUGAUGAAGAUUCUGGGACUGAAGGUGUCUCUUUAAGCGUAGUCCCUUCAUCAGCUGGUUUGGAUGAAGCAGCCUCGCGGAGGAUGAUGGAGCAGGAGCUGCCGAUACCAAAGUCUUUAAAGGAGAGGCUGAACUUUUUUGAGAAUUCCAAAUAAAUCAUCAGCACACAGAAAAGUUUCAAGUAUGAAAAAGUAUGCUUGUGAGUAAACCAAUUUAAUUACCUUCCUCCUGAUGAUAAGAGGGGUAUCAACAUCAUCCUCCAGAAUGGGAGAUGCUGAGACUGGUCGUUUGCGGCUUAGGGCACUCUUGGCUGUAGUAGGCUUGGCAGGGAGAGAAGAAGAUGGACGAGCAGACUGUUUAGCGCGACGAGGAGGAGAAGGACUCCGAAUGGACAAAGAAGUGACUAAAACAGGAGGAGGGGAAGAAAUGCUCGGCUGGUCUAGUGAAUGAAAGGCAUGAUUGACAUUAGUCGUAAACAAUCUGCACUUCACUGACGGUCAAGGGGAUGGAUGACAUGGCUAGAAUUGAAAGGGGCUAAUGAAAAAUAGCUUGUUAAAAGAAGAUUGCGAGCAUUUAUAGCCUUUGCCUCUACCUUAUUAAUAAUAUGGAAGCGGUCAAUCAAGUUCCUUGAAUAGCAAGGAGGAAUAGGCCAAGUUUGGCCGAAACCAAGUUGGCGAGCAAAAAAUUGGGGAGCAUAUAUUUCUAUCCCUACCUUGGCAUUGGUCCCAGUUAAAAUAUCAUGAGAUAACUCCCUUCCGGUCGAAAACUGGAUCCAAAUGAGCAGAGAGGUGCUCGUGUUGUCUAUAGUGGAGGGAGGAUGCACAUAGUUUGGAGUCAAAAAAGGAGGAAAAGGAAAGAAGGAAGGGAUUGAAUCCAAAGAAUAAAAGAAUAAAAAAAUAUCCCUUCUAGACAUAUUUACAGGAGCCAAGGGCUCAAUGGCUAGCCCAUAACAACUAGCAGAAGAACGAGAAAUUGAUGGAGCACCGAGGAAUGGAAAAUAGGAUCUCAACCACAGUUGAGUGAACCAAAGAGGUCUACUACCAGUGGGAGAUGCACCAUUCUUCAAUUGAGUUUGAAGAGAAGCCAUACCUCUAUAAAGGGCAGCCAAAAAGAAAGAACAUAAAUUCAAAGGCCUGCCACGCGCCAAUUCGUGCGCUAUGGGUAAAUAACUCAGGGAGGGCUUUAUGCUUGGCACACACAAAACAUAUUUACAAAGCCAAACCAAAAGAAAGGCCACUCGCUCAGUACGGGAAGACUCAGCGCUCGAAUGGUUAUGAAGGGCUUGCAGGCUUGAAUAAGAUUCGGUGUAGUUUUUACCAAACUUUGGGGCGCCACCAGAAACCAAGAUACCAGGAAAAAUGGUAUCGCCCAAAGGUGGUAGAUUCACUAGGGCCCCAACAUCCGUUAAAGUAAUAGACAUGGGGCUAAGAGGGAAAAUAAAGGUAUUAUACGCAAAAGACUAAAAACUCAAAGCGAUCGAAAAAAGUGCUGAAUCAAAAGUAGGGAGUUGAAUAGAGAUUUCUAACAAAUCAGAAAUCUUAGCAUUAUCAAAAAGUGCCUUAGUAGGACCAUGGCCCACAAGACGAGCAUGCCACCUAUGGAAAACUACAUCAGAUUUAGGCUAAGUGCGAAUACCUCUUUCGCGAAGUGGCCCCAGCGGCAGAGAGUUUAGAAAUGGAGGGCCUUGAGUACAAGAAAACAGCUGGUCCACCGCCGUCUGUUCGACUGCCUCUGCAUUGUUGAAGAAAAGACCUAGGUAGAACUCAUUGAGUUCGACAUUGGCGGGCGCGAGAAAGCUCGGAGUUAUGUAUGGACGACUCGGAAGUUUCUGAAAGUCAUCAAAACUAAAAGAGUCGCCAGCUUGAGAUUGUGAAGUAGCCAUUAGGGAUGAAACGGAGUUUUUUCAAAGUUACGUAGCAGGGAAGCAAAAGAUGAACAGUAAAUUGUGGGAGAGAAAAGCGAAAAAGUGAGGCGUGAUUUAAUAGUUGGGGGUUAUAAGGGUUUGCAAAACGUCGCACCUUUUCAAGCUCUGGAAGAAAAUAAUGAUUGAAAUUCUUGGGAAUUUCGAAUGUUGCUGGAAACACAAAGUGAAUAUGGCAAAAUUUAAUAAUUGGUAUUAAUUCUGCCAUAUUGGGGGGUAAUUGUUGACACAUAAAAAUUUAGCCCAAAUCGAACGGCCCAAGAAAUGAAGCCCAAUUGGAGGAUCCCCAAAUCAGAUAGCCCAAAGAACGAAGCCCAAUCAAACAAUUCAAGAUGAAGGUCCAAGAACGCGGUAACACCAUCGCCCAAGUUUGCAAGUCGCCCAGAAUCUGAAUGAAUGGAGUGCCAUGCAGUCGCCCAGAGCUGUUACUCUAUUCUCGCCCAAACCUUCGAGUCGCCCAAGGUCUUAGCAAACAUAAAGUGUUGUGGUUAUCAAGAAGUGCAGUUAUCAAAGCAGUUAUUAAAGCAGCCUAUCACGUUCCACGAUUCAAGGAAUUCAAUCGAAAACGGUUGAACGACGAAGAGUAAUGGCAGCAGUUAAAAAAGGCAGUUCCAUGACAAGUUGGCCAUUACGAGGAAAGUGGGCAGUUGUAGAACGAUCAAGCAGUUUUUAGACGAUUGAUCACAAAGAGAUCAUCCAGGGAGUAUAAAAGGAAGAAAAGACAUAGGGCAGGGGACCGAAUAAAAAACUCUCGAAUAGAGAACAUGUAAUUUUAAAUUCCUUAACUUAGAUUUAAACACUUUUUUCAGUAACUCGUGUGCUUGCGCCCCUUGGAGGCAUUCUGUUUUUAAUUUCUAAUUGUAAAGUCAUCGUCAAUAAAGGAACACCCCUUUUUGGGACUUUGUAUCAAGAGGUUUGUCCCUUACACAAUCGUCUGAUCCCUUUUAAUUGUUAGCGACUAACACGUGCGAAACAAUUAUAUCUACUGAGCCUUGUGUAUCUAAUUACAACUUUUACAUGUUGCUCUCUUAGUUUAGAUAUUGCUUUAGUAUAGUCUAAUGCUUGUAUUCUAAUUAUUACUUUCAUAGUGUAGAUGAAUUUGAUUUCUCAAAAGAAACAUUCUAACAACUCACAUGUACUUUCAGCACCUAAGAUGUCCCGAUUGACUUGCAUAAAUGAGCCUCCGCUGCUUUAGAAAUCGCGAUCUAAUAACUCUUCCACUAAUAGGUUUGUACCUCCUCUUUCAUUGCGACAUUAAUUUCAAGCCAGUAGGUUAGUACCUCCCUUAUCUCCAACAUCUCAAUCCCCCAAAACUUCUCUAUACCAGCUUCGCAAAAUUGCAACUCGGUCAACCAUCGAAAAUAUUUCCACUUGUUAUGCUCCUUUAAUUGAGACUACUCGUACUCCUACACAUCCUGAGACACCAACUAGGACUCUUCCUAAUCCAGGUGCAAAUAUGAUCUCUCCAACAACAAGCCUGAUCAACCACCUUCUCAUCCUAUGAGUGCUGUUCGUCGUCACCCAAGUUGUAAACAAAGGUUCAGGUACUAUGCCAUUUUUUAAAAUUUUCAAUUCUGAUUUGCAAUAAGCAUGAUAGCUGUUGCAUAGGUUGUCAGUCUUCGCCAUCGCAUAGUCUACUAAUACGUGUUCUGAUUUUAUAGAACUCACUUGAGAAGCUGCAUUUUUAGUUUUCAUGUUCAUUUUUGCUUGAUGAAUUGACCUUUACAUAUUUAUGUGAUUUUUUCAUCUGAAAUUUGUUACUCCUGAGGUCCAUAAGUUUCCCCAGAUAAGCUUAAAACUCAGCCAAUCUGUUACUACCUAAAUUUUGUGGUGCUUAAGAAAUUGCAUAGCUGGAAUUUUGUCAUUGAUUUUCAGCAUUUAUUCAGUUGCUCAAUUAGAAAUUUUCAAAAUUGUAUUUUGAAUUUAUCUCAUUUUCUGAAUUGGUUAUUACAUUUGAAGUACUUGGGUUUAAUUUAAUUUGGUCGAUUUUAGCAUGAGUCGAUUAUUAUAUAUAUGCAAUAAACUUAUCCUUUGUAAUUUUUGGGCUUUGCUCAAUUUGUCUCCCAGCUUAUCGGUUGAAACUUGACCUCCUAGUUAUAUCUUGUAUGUCAAGGACAUAAAUAGAUUAGGAGAAAUGGUAAUGUGACAGUGAUUUUAAGGCAUGCAAGUACACAAUUCCCUCAAAAUAGAAACUGAAAGAUUUGCCUGUUGAAUUCUUCCAUUCAAAAUCAACUAUCCUCACUUGUUUCAGCUAUCGAUUUGAGUUUUUGAGAUUUUGAGCAGUGACCUGGGAACUCAAAGGGAGGAAUCCGAGCCAUUUACUGUGAUUGGAGGUUGAAAAUCUGAUUGUAUUUACUGAAAAGUAAUGAUCUACCUGUUUACUUAUUAAUUAAUGCACGAAAGUAGAGCAAUUAAAAGCCAAUUUAGACUUUUUACAUAAAAUGGACUGUUUGGCUUGACUACAGAAUGCUAAGACUUGUCUUCAAUAUGUUAGACUUAGUAUUCUAUGCAUAGAUAUAAUCUUAUAUGUUUGUUGAUGUGUCAAACACUAACAAACUUUAAAUUGUUCACAUGCUUAGUAUGAAAUGUGUACCAUUUUACUGUGGUUCAUAUUUUACUUUUUAUCGAAACUAUUUUCUGCAGAAUGAUUAGUCUUUAAUUUUUGGGUUGAUGCAGCUAUAUUGUAGCAAAAUAUGUUAUUUCUGAGGUCCAAAAUUUUCCCCAUAUAAGCUUAAAGCUAAGCCAAUCUGUCACUUUCAAAUGUAUCACGAAAAGCUGUUGCACUCUUGUCAUGACAAUCAAUUCAUCUCUAAAUUAGGAUUUUUUUUUUUUUACUUGUAAUGCCAAUUUGAUGUUUUGAAACUAACAAGUAUGGAAAUGUUCUCCCAAAUUAAAAAUGAGUAAAAAUACAUGUGCAUUGAAUUCCUUAGAUAUGUUCAUUAUUAUAUCUCUUUAUCAAUUAAUUUUGUUUCGAUUAUUUUCUAAAGAGCAAGUAUUUAAUUUUUUUUUUUUUUUUUUUUUUUUGGAAAACUCAUGUGAUAGGCACAGCAGAAAGUGAACAUUUUCAUAGAGCUGAAGAAGAUAAUGAGGCAUUGGACGAUGAAAUAGACGAUUCUGAAGGUAGGCUGUUUAUUUUAUGAUAGUCAAUUUUCUUACUUUAUAAAGUUCAUUUACAUGUUCGACUUUUAUUAUUGGUUUUGCAGGUAUAGGUAUAGGUGUAGGACACUUGCCAAGGACUCUCGAUGAUCAUCCUUUGAGGAGCAUGUAAACAAAUUAAGACAUCUCGUAUCGUUCGUACAACUCGAGAGAAAAUUCGAGUUUUAUACAAUUUAGUAAGCAGACGAGCAACAAGUUCUGAAGUACAUGAUUUGUUGGUUCACGAUAUCGGAGCCAUCAUUCGUUCACAUUGCCCAAUGAAUAUGAGUUAUUAGCAAACCAUUUCUCCAAGUGAGAAAAAUGACCUUAUGGAUGAGAUCACGAUAAGCAUGCGCAAAUGUAUUUAUGCUGCUGGAAAAUUAAUAGCGGAAUAAAACUACAUGAAUCAAUUAAAAGCACAUUAUUCAUUUGAUUUUGCAAUGUUAUUUAUAUUUACUUUGUGCCUUAUUUUCUAGAAUUGGG
rnacentral:lncRNA from 1 species